rnacentral:sRNA from 1 species
AGAUCGCACGUGUCGUGCGGGUGAGAAGCUGCGUUCAGGUUCGAGCCGAGCGAAGCGAGACGACAACGCGAAGCGUUGCCCGCAGGGCGAGGCCGGAGGCCGAGUCAAUCCUGCACGACCCACCA